CUACGGGGCGCUGCAGUGGGGAAUAUUGGACAAUGGGCGCAAGCCUGAUCCAGCAAUACCGCGUGUGUGAAGAAGGCCUGCGGGUUGUAAAGCACUUUCAAUUGUGAAGAAAAGCGAGAGGUUAAUAGCCUUUUGUCUUGACGUUAACUUUAGAAGAAGCACCGGCUAACUCUGUGCCAGCAGCCGCGGUAAUACAGAGGGUGCGAGCGUUAAUCGGAAUUACUGGGCGUAAAGCGUGCGUAGGCGGUUUAGUAAGUCAGAUGUGAAAGCCCUGGGCUCAACCUGGGAACUGCAUUUGAAACUGCUGAACUAGAGUGUGGUAGAGGGAAGUGGAAUUCCGGGUGUAGCGGUGAUAUGCGUAGAUAUCCGGAGGAACACCAGUGGCGAAGGCGACUUCCUGGACCAACACUGACGCUGAGGUACGAAAGCGUGGGUAGCAAACAGGAUUAGAUACCCGAGUAGUC
rnacentral:rRNA from 1 species